AGAGUUUGAUCCUGGCUCAGAACGAACGCUGGCGGCGUGGAUCAGACAUGCAAGUCGAACGAGGUUAAUUUGGUAGCAAUACUGGGUUAGCUUAGUGGCGAACGGGUGCGUAACACGUGACCAACCUGCCUAGAAGUGGGGGAUAGCUCGGCGAAAGCCGGAUUAAUACCGCAUGUGAUCGCAAGAUUAAAGCAGCAAUGCGCUUUUAGAGGGGGUCGCGGCCUAUCAGCUAGUUGGUGAGGUAACGGCUUACCAAGGCAGCGACGGGUAGCUGGUCUGAGAGGACGACCAGCCACACUGGAACUGAGACACGGUCCAGACACCUACGGGUGGCAGCAGUCGAGAAUUUUUCUCAAUGGGGGAAACCCUGAAGGAGCGACGCCGCGUGGAGGAUGAAGGCUUUCGGGUUGUAAACUCCUGUCAUCUGGGAACAAAACUCGCAAGAGCUUGAUAGUACCAGAAGAGGAAGAGACGGCUAACUCUGUGCCAGCAGCCGCGGUAAUACAGAGGUCUCAAGCGUUGUUCGGAUUCAUUGGGCGUAAAGGGCGCGUAGGCGGUGGGGUAAGUCUGGUGUGAAAUCUCGGAGCUCAACUUCGAAAUUGCACUGGAUACUGCUCUGCUAGAGGGCUGGAGAGGAGAUCGGAAUUCACGGUGUAGCAGUGAAAUGCGUAGAUAUCGUGAGGAAGACCAGUGGCGAAGGCGGAUCUCUGGACAGCUCCUGACGCUGAGGCGCGAAGGCUAGGGGAGCAAACGGGAUUAGAUACCCCAGUAGUCC
rnacentral:rRNA from 1 species